rnacentral:tRNA from 1 species
GGUGGGUUAGCUCAGUGGUUAGAGCUUAGGUCUCGUAACCGGAAGGUCGAAAUUUUUGCACAUCA